GACAGAGGCCUCGAGCGUUAGGCGGAAUCACUGGGCUUAAAGCGUGUGUAGGCGGUCCCGUAAGUGUGUUGUGAAAUCCCACGGCUCAACCGUGGAACUGCUGGGCAUACUGCGGGUCUUGGGCCAACUAGGGGCAGCCGGAACAAGCGGUGGAGCGGUGAAAUGCGUAGAUAUCAGGAGGAACACCGGUGGCGAAGGCGGAUCUCUGGGCCUUACCUGACGCUGAGGCGCGAAAGCUAGGGGAGCGAACAGG
rnacentral:rRNA from 1 species